rnacentral:lncRNA from 1 species
CGGAGCCCCGCGCGGCCGCCGCCCCCGUCGGAGCCCCGCUCCAACCCGGGCCCCGUUGUACCUCGGGCCGUCUCUCUUCCCUCACACCUCAGCCCGAACUCGACGCACCCCGGCCCCACCACACCUCAGGGAAUGCAGCCGGGGUUGGAAGGGACCUGAAACUUGUAGCUCUGCGCAAGACCUCCUGAACUUCAAAUGCUGUCUCCAAGGGCGGUGUCCAAAUGCUUCUCCAACUCCAUCAGUCCGGGCCUGUGACUGUAGUCCCAGGGCUCUUGUUCUGGUACCCAACCACCCUCUGAUUCUUCUCCAAAGAAAUGAAUAUCCCUUCAGCAAGUCAGAACAAAACCCGAGCCCCUCUUUGUAUUCCGAAUCCAGAAGCAUUCGAUUCUGCUAAGCAAGGUGAAACAACGCGUUUGUAUCCAUCUCACGGCUCUCCUGCCCGAGUUUUUCCUUCGCGCUGAGCAUCAGCCUGCAAUCUUCGGUAGUUCCGGUAGAGGGCAAUACAGUAAAGCCAUUUAUAGAAGGCUCCUCAAGGCAGUUGCCGUAACUAGGCGCUACAGAAUGCCAUAGGCUUUCUGUAGCGAAAGGGUCGGUGUUCUAAUGCCAGAUAUUUACAAUUAAAUCUGCUUUUGAAC